GAGGGUGAUGCCUGCCCAAUGGUUGUAUCUAAAAGCGGUUGAUAAAAGUUGACCUCGUAAGGACAAUUGAAUGGCCGCGGUAACACUGACCGUGAUAAUGUAGCGUAAUCAAUAGCCAAUUAAUUGUUGGCCAGUAUGAAUGGCGCCACGAAGGCCCCACUGUCUUAAGGAAAUUCCCAGUGAAAUUGAAUUCGUAGUGAAGAUGCUACGUCCAAUUUGUUAGACGAAAAGACCCCGUUGAGCUUUACUGGAGCACUUACAUGGCCCCGGCCUUCCCAUGCCUGGGAACCGGCCGAAUUUAAAUGGGCGGCUUAGAUUAUGUGGCAGCCCCCCGCUGGGGCAAAUGAAACACCACUCCCCCAUGUCAAAGGGGCUAACCCCCCCCCUUGGGGGGACAGUGUAAGUAGGACAGUUUGGUUGGGGCGACCACCUUUUAAAAAGUAACGAAGGUGCGCUUAAGGUGCGCAAUUAAUGACUGAAGCCUGACUGCGAGGGGGACACCCCGAGCAGACACCCCAAAGCCCGCCCGAAAGGCGGCGGUGGGGUGG
rnacentral:rRNA from 2 species